GCAGGGCAAGGGUCAUAAUGGAGACAGUUGACAAGACAGUAAUCGGGCAAUGGUGUGUGUGUGUGUGUUUGUGUAGUCUGUAAGGAUGGUAUGUUGACUGUGUGUGUGUGUGUGUGUGUGUGUGUGUGUGUGUGUGUGUGUAUGUGCAGUCUCUGAAGAUAGUAUGUUAAGUGAAUAUGUGUGUGAAGUCUCUGAGGAUGGUAUGUUAAGUGAGUGUGUGUGUUUGUGUGUGUGUGUGUGUGUGUGUGUGUGUGUGUGUGUGUGUAUAGUCUGUAAGGAUGGUAUGUUGACUGUGUGUAUAUAUGUAGUCUCUAAGGAUGGUGUGUUUUGUGUGUGUGUGUGUGUAUAGCCUGUAAGGAUGGUAUGUUGAGUGUAUGUGUCCACCCAGGGCACAGGUAGUGAUCAAAUGCUUCUCUGAUCUUGAACUCCAACCCAGCAGGCCCACUUCUAAUCACAAGGGUUGAUUCUGGAGCAGUGGGAAGAUGCGGCAUGGAUAUUUCCAAUUGCAACUGAGAAGUGAGCAGUCUUUCUUUAGUGCCAGCUAUCACCGUGCUGGGACCAGAAGCAAGCCGUGACAGCUCUGAGAAAGACAUUCCUGGCUGUACCACCAGGUGCCAAAACCCAACCUCGGGGCAGCACUGAACACUGUGGUUCUCAUUUCUGAAAAGAAAGCAGGCUGAGGCCAAAGCUCUAUGGGAAAGUGCUUGGUGCACAAGCAGGAAGACCAGCGUUCCUCUGAGCUCCAGCACCA
rnacentral:lncRNA from 1 species